CCUCUACUUUAACAUGGAGGCACUUGCUGUGACAUGACAAAAAUAAGUGCUUCCAUGUUUGAGUGUG
rnacentral:pre_miRNA from 2 species